rnacentral:rRNA from 1 species
AGCGUGUGCGCGAGUCAUUGGGUGAAAACCUAAAGGCGAAAUGAAAGUAAAGGGUGUUUUUGCACCCGAGGGAAGAUGGUCGUAAAGCCUUUUAUUAGGCGUCGGCCCGCACUCCCGGGGCGUCUCUAUCUCGUUUCGAGUAGAGGCGCACCUAUAGCGCACACGCUGAUACCCGAAAGAUGGUGAACUAUGCCUGGCCAGGACGAAGCCAGGGGAAACCCUGGUGGAGGUCCGCAGCGAUUCUGACGUGCAAAUCGAUCGUCGGAGCUAGGUAUAGGGGCGAUAGACCAAUCGAACCAUCUAGUAGCUGGUUCCCUCUGAAGUUUCCCUCAGGAUAGCUUGCGCUCGGAGAGAAGAGUCUCAUCCGGUAGAGCGAAUGAUUAGAGGCCUUGGGGUCGAAACGACCUCAACCUAUUCUCAAACUCCAAAUAGAUGAGAUCCCCGGCUUGCUUGAAAGUGAAGCCGGGAGACUCGGAUCAGAGUGCCAAGUGGGCCAAUUUUGGUAAGCAGAACUGGCGCUGUGGGAUGAACCAAACGCAGAGUUAAGGCGCCUAAAUCGACGCUCAUGUGAAACCAUGAAAGGCGUUGGUUGCUUAAGACAGCAGGACGGUGGCCAUGGAAGUCGGA